rnacentral:rRNA from 1 species
CCCUUAGAUUUUCUGGGCCGCACGCGUGCUACACUGAGUGGAUCAGCGGGUCAGGUUGCGCGAAAGUGUUUCCUAAUCUUUAAAUCCGCUCGUGAUGGGGAUUGACGGUUGCAAUUUUCCGUCAUGAACGAGGAAUACCUUGUAAGCGCGGGUCAUCAUCCCGCGCUGAAUACGUCCCUGCCCUUUGUACACACCGCCCGUCGCUCCUACCGAUUGAGUGGUCCGGUGAGGCUUUGGGAUCUGGGCGGAAAGAGCGUUUCGCUGUUUCUGCCCGGAAAACUCAGUCGAACCUUAUCAUUUAGAGGAAGGAGAAGUCGUAACA